GUCUCUGUAGCUUAAUAGUUAAAGCAUGGCACUGAAGAUGCCAAGAUGGCCAUCACACUCCCCCCAGAGACA
rnacentral:tRNA from 1 species